AACAAGGUAAGUUCAAUAACAUAAUGUUUUUCAUUUGAAUUUAGCAUAAAAUCACUGUAUUUCUGAUACUGGUCUUCUGUGUUUUUUUCUGUUCUUAACUCUGUUUAUCUACAUGUUACUGUUUGAGCCCUUAUAUGGCAAGUGUGGGUCAUGUGGUAACAUUACAUUAACAAGUUAAGUUCAAAAUCCCAAAUGUUUCUUACAAUAUAAAACUAGAAAGUGUUUCAUUUGAAUACAGCAUAAAAUCACUGUAUUUCUGAUACUGGUCUGCUGUUUAUUUUCUACGCUUGACUCUCUUCAUGUACAUGUCACUGUUUGAGCCCUUACUAUGGUAAAUGUGGGUCACGUGACAACAUUACAUUAACAAGAGAAAUUUGUACCAGAUAGCAGCAGCAUUGUGACCCGGAUGAAUACACUCACAGUGGACUGUCUGUUCAACGAGGAUGACGAUACACAACUACAAAAAGAGAAGCCCC